CAGGAUGAACGCUGGCGGCGUAGCCUAACACAUGCAAGUCGAGCGAGAAAUCGCUCAAUGAUCUUCGGGUGAUUGAGCGAUGGAAAGCGGCGGACGGGUGAGUAACGCGUAGGUAACCUGCCCCAUACAGAGGGAUAGCCACUGGAAACGGUGAUUAAUACCUCAUAACACCGGAAUAUCGCAUGGUAUACCGGUCAAAGUUUUUCGGUAUGGGAUGGACCUGCGUCUGAUUAGCUGGUUGGUGAGGUAACGGCUCACCAAGGCGACGAUCAGUAGCGACCUGAGAGGGUGAUCGGCCACAUUGGAACUGAGACACGGUCCAAACUCCUACGGGAGGCAGCAGUGGGGAAUAUUGCACAAUGGGCGCAAGCCUGAUGCAGCAACGCCGCGUGAACGAAGAAGGCUCUUGGGUCGUAAAGUUCUGUUCUGAGGGAAGAAGAUCUGACGGUACCUCAGGAGAAAGCCCCGGCUAACUACGUGCCAGCAGCUGC
rnacentral:rRNA from 1 species